rnacentral:tRNA from 1 species
ACCUGGAUGGUCCAGUCAGUAGAGCAUAGGACUCUUGAUCUUAGGGUUGUGAGUUCAAGCCCCACAUUGGGUG